rnacentral:rRNA from 1 species
AUGUGUGUCCCAAAAGACCAAGGAGGUAUGGGUUUCCGAGAUAUACAUUGCUUCAAUCUGGCUUUGUUAGCCAAACAAAUGCGGCGUCUGAUUGAUAACCCUGAGUCUUUAUGUGCUAUUAUCUUGAAAGCAAAAUAUUUUCUGGAGGGGGAUCUAGUGAAUGCAAGUUUUAAAAAGGGGUCCUCCUUUAUUUGGCAAAGUAUUAUGGCAGGUGUAAAUUCUCUCAAAAGUGGUUAG